UUGCGGUUCAGUGUGGCAUUCUGGCAUAUGUUACGGGGUACUGGAGGAGAUCCUUUUGGUGCACCUACAAAGAACUGGCCUUGGGAGGAUGGCACAAAUUCCCUGGCCAUGGCUAAGAGAAGAAUGAUAUCUCAAUUUGAGUUCAUGAAGAAGCUUGGAGUUGACAGGUGGUGCUUCCAUGAGAGGGACAUCGCCCCUGAUGGCAAAACACUCGCGGUAUGA
rnacentral:rRNA from 1 species